UAAUGUGGCUGUGGACAGAAUAGUGACGCCACAGGCAAACUGUCGGAGUAUAAAGAGUGCAUAAAGUAACAUUUAACGCGCUUAAGCGAAAUUGCGAGAAUCGGAGGCAUAGAAGCUGAUGCACAAGACGGUGAAGUGUAGAGGGAGUUACGUGGCAUUAACAUACCGAUUUACAUAAUGCGUAUAAUUCAAGUAAUUAUUGAGGGAAAUAUACACAAUUUAAUAUAAUGGCUGAUGCUUAAACUCAUCGUCUAUCUGCUCGACGUAUCUCCGAUCUCUGUCGCUCUUUAGCUAUCAAAAAUUUUCUCCCUGUGUUUAUUAUUCAUUAUCCUCAAGAUAUUAGCUAUUUUAUAUUUUUAUUUAUUUGUCGACGAGUUUGUAUUUCAUAGCUUAUUUAUUUAUAAAAUCAAAUUAUUACGAGGUAAUUUACUUUUUUUAAUGAGUAAUUUUAUUUAUUUAAAUUUGCCAUUUUAUCGUCAGACGAUCGUCUCAUGAAAGUUAAGCUAACAAAUAUUUUAAUAAUUACGCGAUUUAUAAAAUUAUUUAAUUGGAAGACGUAAUUAAUAACAACAAUAAUAAUCAUUUUAAUUAAUAACGAAGAUUCGAAAUAAAUUAAAUAUUAAAAAAUAAAACUUGUCAAUUUAAUGGUAACAUGGAAAAAAAAUUUGACCACUUUCAUGACAUUAAAUUCGUUGGUACAACAUGCAACUAAAAAUAUAUACAUAUACAUACUCAUAUAUAUUGAAUAAUGAUACGAAGCGUAUGUAUGAGGGUUAAAAAAAGAUAAAAACCCGGCAAAAGAAGUGGAUUGCGUAUGAAAAAGGAGGAGAGCUUGAGGACACGAAAGAGGGGCCUACUCAACUGCCCGACUGCCCGCGUAUCUCGAGAUCUAUCUGAAUAAUAACGUGUACGACAACAUGUCAAAUUAUACAGAGCCACGAGACACUCGUCGGUAUACAUACACGCACUUAAACAACUCAUAAUUGCGAGUGCACGCACACCUGACAUAGAAAAAUAUAACUAAACAUCAUCGCAACUUAUGUAUCCAUGCCCAUACCCAUACCCAUACCCAUACCACAUCAUAUGUACUUAUUAUUACUAUUAUUUAUCGCCCUAACUCCAAAUUCGGAUCGCUUCCCAUAUCCUCAUGCAUUCCUCCAUAAAUAUUACAGCCAAUCCAAUUAUUCCCACGUUAUCGCGUCUAAUUACUUUGUAUAUUUAUCAAACUUUAUACUUUUUUUCACGACCCGUACCCGUUCUCCUUUUUGUUCCUCUUCUCCGUCUAUUUUUUAAAUCGCUAUCGAUCCACGACAAUUAAAUCCCCACAAGUCACGUUGAUCAUGACGGAUUGCUUUACCAACAAGUUAUUACAGUCAAACUCAACUAUUUAAAUUUAUUUAUAUUUUUUUACCCGCUCUCGGAAAUUGUUAAUUUAAUGGAAAUUUUUCUCAACAUUUUAAAAAAUCUUAUUUCUUAAUUAUUUUAAUACGAACUAAUUACAUUUUUUUUUUUCCAUGACCUGCCUCUGGAUCAUCGGAAACCGCACGCAUCAAUCCAGUAUACGGCAUUACACUGGGCAGCCAAGCACGGGGAUGAAAACAUCGUCAAGUUAAUUGCUGGGACCUACAAAGACUACAUAAAGAGCGUCAACGAGACAACGAACGGGGUGAGUUUUAUUGAACGAGUUUAAGUAAGAGCUAAUUUAGUGCGCGGAGGUUUAAAUAAAGGACGUAGGGCGCGGGCGGAGGGUGGGCUUUCGAAGCGGGCUGAGGAGACAGCAGAUAGGAUCAGAUGCGUGUGGUCUCUUGGUUUGCUCCGGUAAGACUUAUAUAAGCCAGUGCUUGAGAUAAAGAGCGAGAGAGAGAUUGCCGCUCGU